CCUACGGGGGGCAGCAGUGGGGGAUAUUGCACAAUGGGGGGAACCCUGAUGCAGCGACGCCGCGUGGGUGAAGGAGUGCUUCGGCAUGUAAAGCCCUAUCGGCAGGGAAGAAGCAAGACGGUACCUGACUAAGAAGCCCCGGCUAACUACGUGCCAGCAGCCGCGGUAAUACGUAGGGGGCGAGCGUUAUCCGGAUUCACUGGGUGGAAAGGGAGCGUAGACGGCCAUGCAAGCCAGGGGUGAAAGCCCGGGGCCCAACCCCGGGACUGCCCUUGGGACUGCAGGGCCGGAGUGCGGGAGGGGGAGGCGGAAUUCCUGGUGUAGCGGUGAAAUGCGUAGAUAUCGGGAGGAACACCGGCAGCGAAGGCGGGCUGCUGGACCGCGACUGACGUUGAGGCUCGAAAGCGUGGGGAGCGAACAGGAUUAGAUACCCCAGUAGUC
rnacentral:rRNA from 1 species